rnacentral:rRNA from 1 species
GAUGAACGCUGGCGGCGUGCCUAAUACAUGCAAGUCGAGCGAACAGAUGAGGAGCUUGCUCCUCUGACGUUAGCGGCGGACGGGUGAGUAACACGUGGAUAACCUACCUAUAAGACUGGGAUAACUUCGGGAAACCGGAGCUAAUACCGGAUAAUAUAUUGAACCGCAUGGUUCAAUAGUGAAAGACGGUUUUGCUGUCACUUAUAGAUGGAUCCGCGCCGCAUUAGCUAGUUGGUAAGGUAACGGCUUACCAAGGCGACGAUGCGUAGCCGACCUGAGAGGGUGAUCGGCCACACUGGAACUGAGACACGGUCCAGACUCCUACGGGAGGCAGCAGUAGGGAAUCUUCCGCAAUGGGCGAAAGCCUGACGGAGCAACGCCGCGUGAGUGAUGAAGGUCUUCGGAUCGUAAAACUCUGUUAUUAGGGAAGAACAAAUGUGUAAGUAACUAUGCACGUCUUGACGGUACCUAAUCAGAAAGCCACGGCUAACUCCGUG